GGACGAACGCUGGCGGCGCGCCUCAUACAUGCAAGUCGAGCGUGAAGCGGGACUUCGGUCCCGUGGAAAGCGGCGAACGGGUGCGUAACACGUGAGCAACCUGCCCCGAAGACUGGGAUAACCCGGGGAAACCCGGGCUAAUACCGGAUGUCCUCCUCCGAUCGCAUGGUUGGAAGUGGAAAUGUUCAGGCGCUUCGGGAUGGGCUCGCGGUCUAUCAGCUUGUUGGUGGGGUGANGGCCUACCAAGGCGACGACGGGUAGCCGGCCUGAGAGGGCGACCGGCCACACUGGGACUGAGACACGGCCCAGACUCCUACGGGAGGCAGCAGUGGGGAAUCUUGCGCAAUGGGCGAAAGCCUGACGCAGCGACGCCGCGUGAGGGA
rnacentral:rRNA from 1 species